GGAAGGAUCAUUCACACUAUUCCAAUUAACCUUUUGUGAACCAUGAAAAGUACCUUUUUUAAACAUUUAUAUAAAAUUCCAAUUAAAUAGCGAAAUAAAAAUCCAUGAACAACUGCUAACAACGGAUGUCUUGGUUCUCGCAACGAUGAAGAACGCAGCGAAAUGCGAUACGUAAUGUGAAUUGCAGAUCAGUGAAUCAUCGAAUCUUUGAACGCAAGUGGCGCUCUAGGGUAUUCCUUGGAGCAUGCCUGUUUGAGUGUCAACAAAACACUGAUCCAAACAAUUCUUUUAUUAGAACUGUGAGGAUCGAUAUUGAGUGUCAAAGCUCUGCUUUGUCGCUUUAAAAGCAUUGACAACCAAGUUGAUAUAUCAACGCAAUUGGUAAAUUCAUUUAUUUAAUUGUGGAGUAAUCAGCUGACAAGUCAAAAGAUUUAAUUUUUAAUUAGAUUUGACCUCAAAUCAGACAAGACUACCCGCCGAAUUUAAGCAUAUAACUAAGCGGAGGAAAAGAAACUAACAAGGAUUCCCCUAGUAACGGCGAGUGAAGCGGGAAAAGCUCAACCCUUUAAUCUGAACUUUUCAAGUUCCGAGUUGUGGGCUAGAGAAGAGCGCAUUGACUUUUGUUUGAUAAAAGUCUCUUGGAAGAGAGCAUCAAAGAGGGUGAUAAUCCCGUCCUUGGUCAUUCAAACGUCAUUUUUGUGCUUUUUCUUAGAGUCGAGUUGUUUGGGAAUGCAGCUCUAAUUGGGUGGUAAAUUUCAUCUAAAGCUAAAUAUAGGCGAGAGACCGAUAGCGAACAAGUACCGUGAGGGAAAGAUGAAAAGUACUUUGAAAAGAGAGUCAAAAGGACCUGAAAUUGUUAGCAGGGAACCGUUUGAAGCGAGUGAUGCACUUUUGUAAAUCAGUCUUUGGACUUGUCCAAGGAUGCACUUUGCUUUGUGCUUGUCAGCAUCAGUUGCGAUCGUAGUAUAGUGCCGCAAGGAAGGUAGGUACCCUCGGGUAUUGUUAUAGCCUUGCGUGUCAAAGUAUUGUUGCGACUGAGGGAUUUUGCACUGCACGUUCCAACAUGGGCCUUUGUAUGCCUCUUCUUGCUCAUUGUAGAACAGCUUGCUGGGCUGCUUUGAUCAGGGUCUGGUGUAUGAUACGCUUAUUUGUGCAGUCAAGAUGUUGACGAAAUCGCUUCAACCGACCCGUCUUGAAACACGGACCAAGGAGUCUAACAUGUGUGCGAGUAUUUUGGUGUUAAACCACAAUGCGCAAUGAAAGUGAUCAGUACCAAGGCGCAAGCCCUCAGUACUGGCCAACCAACGAGUUUUCACUUUUUGGAUUGAGUCUGAGCAUACAUGCUGGGACCCGAAAGAUGGUGAACUAUGCCUGAAUAGGAUGAAGCCAGAGGAAACUCUGGUGGAGGUCCGAAGCGGUUCUGACGUGCAAAUCGAUCGUCAAAUUUGGGUAUAGGGGCGAAAGACUAAUCGAACCAUCUAGUAGCUGGUUCCCUC
rnacentral:misc_RNA from 1 species